AGUGAACGCUGGCGGUAGGCCUAACACAUGCCAGUCGAACGGCAGCACAGUAAGAGCUUGCUCUUACGGGUGGCGAGUGGCGGACGGGUGAGGAAUACAUCGGAAUCUACUUUUUCGUGGGGGAUAACGUAGGGAAACUUACUCUAAUACCGCAUACGACCUACGGGUGAAAGCAGGGGAUCUUCUGACCUUGCGCGAUUGAAUGAGCCGAUGUCGGAUUAGCUAGUUGGCGGGGUAAAGGCCCACCAAGGCGACGAUCCGUGGCUGGUCUGAGAGGAUGGUCAGCCACACUGGAACUGAGACACGGUCCAGACUCCUACGGGAGGCAGCAGUGGGGAAUAUUGGACAAUGGGCGCAAGCCUGAUCCAGCCAUACCGCGUGGGUGAAGAAGGCCUUCGGGUUGUAAAGCCCUUUUGUUGGGAAAGAAAAGCAGCAGGUUAAUACCCCGCUGUUCUGACGGUACCCAAAGAAUAAGCACCGGCUAACUUCGUG
rnacentral:rRNA from 1 species